GAUCAUUACAGUAUUCUUUUUGCCAGCGCUUAAUUGCGCGGCGAAAAAACCUUACACACUGUGUUUUUUGUUAUUACAAGAACUAUUGCUUUGGCUUGGCCUAGAGAUAGGUUGGGCCAGAGGUUUACUAAACUUCAAAUUUCGAUUUGAAUUUUUUUUAUAUUUAACCUGUCAAUUUGUUGAUUAAUUUCAAAUAAAUCUUCAAAACUUUCAACAACGGAUCUCUUGGUUCUCGCAUCGAUGAAGAACGCAGCGAAAUGCGAUAAGUAUUGUGAAUUGCAGAUUUUCGUGAAUCAUCGAAUCUUUGAACGCACAUUGCGCCCUCUGGUAUUCCGGAGGGCAUGCCUGUUUGAGCGUCAUUUCUCUCUCAAACCUUUGGGUUUGGUAUUGAGCGCUACGCAACUUUACUGUUGUGUUUGCUUGAAAGGAAUUGGCACUGAGUGGUACUAAUAGUACUUCCCUUUGGAACUUCAAUGUAUUAGGUUUAUCCAACUCGUUGAACCCUUUGGGCAAGUAAAUUUUAGCACUUUAUGCUCGGCCUUACAAGACAACAAACAAGAUUGACCUC
rnacentral:misc_RNA from 1 species